GUCCUGGUGUGCACAAAGUUUUGUUUUGAGCCCUCCAAGCAUCCCUGAUGGGUAUGGGGUUUGAUUCUAAACAUGAUUUUGUCCCUCCUACCAUCUUGUUGGGCUUCUCCUUUGCCCUUGAACAUGGGGUAUCUUUAUUUGGUGGGAUCCAACAUUCUCCUGUGAGUGGUUGUUCAGUGGUUAGUUGCAGUUUUGGAGUUCUCACAGAGAUGAAUGCACAUCCUUCUACUCCACCAUCCUGUUUAUGCUAGAUAGUAUAGAAUCGAUUAUACUAUUUUUAUAGAAACAUUGGUUAUUUAAUUUCAGUAAAAUACAUCUUAAGUAGUUGGCUAAUUUUCCAACUAAAUAAUAUUAAGGUUCUCCUACAGAUUGUUGUUUUCAUAAUAAUUCAGUAAAAGUUGGAAAUGAUUGUUUCUAGGUGGAUGCAGUGUCAAUUUCACAGUCCUCAGAGCUGGCUAAUAUGGUUCAUUAUUUCAAACUGUUACGGAAUGAAGUUCACUAUUACUGUUAAUUAAAAGUUUAUACUACAAAACAUUGUGAACCAUUUUUGUCCACACUCCUAUAUUUAAUUCAGAUUUUACACGUGUUGGCAUAAUCUAUUUACUUUUCUAUUAUUAAAAGCUAUUAAUUCACAGUUAAUAAAUUCCAAAUGAGAAUAAUUUCCUUAUUGAAAUGUGUGGGGGCCUUGGAGAGUCUUAGAGCUGAUUAAUUUGCCAAGAUUAAAAACAAUAACAAUUGUAAUUGACUCAAUUGGCUUCUGAAACUCUGGUAUUUGCGUGUAUUUCAGGAUAAUGAUAACUGUCCAAAAUAUUUCCUGUGGUAGGAAACUAAAAUCUUUUUUAAAAGAGAGGAAAUCAAGAGAAUCUAUAGAAUAUCAUGAAGUUCAUAUAGCAGAAACAAAAGUAGAAUUUUAUGUAAUCUUAACCUUUCAAAUCAGAGGACAAAAUCACACUGAACAUCAUACAUAUAAAUGUAUAUAUCAAUUCACUCUUUUAUUCUUUGCUUGAAUUGCCUCAAAGUCUUCUAAAACAUAUACUGAUAUGCUUUCACAAAUAGCUGAUUCUAUUUUGUGGCACUCAUCAAGAAACAGGAAAGAUGUUUCAACAAAGAACAAAAUUACACAGGAACACAUUAUUUCAUGACUUCACCCAUCUCCUUACUCUGCUUCUCUCCUUUUUCAAACUCUGAAGAAGAACAAAGUAGUCAAUGUAUUCCAGUAAGAAACUGGUCAAGGUCUAUUUCCCUAUGACACUCAGCUAUAUUAGAGUUAUUCUCUUACAGAAAGAUAACAUAUAAUUUUAUUCUG
rnacentral:lncRNA from 1 species